rnacentral:lncRNA from 1 species
UAUUUUCCUAAAUAAGAAAUCCUGAUAGUCCAUGGUAACCGCUAAAAAAUGCCACCAUUAGUCUUAAUAUGUCACCACACAACCACCACCAUCGUAAAACCAUGUUCUUCUUCCUCGCCCAAUUGCAAAAUCCACGAAGCAUCAGUAGAACCACCAUGGUUAGUCAAUGUCCAUGUGCCAUCACCGUGAACCAGGAUCGUUUUCUCUUCAUCCUCGUGCCAUGAAG